rnacentral:tRNA from 1 species
UAUAUUUUAAUAUAUGAGGUAUAGUAAUUUUUGAUGUUACUAGAAACGGUUUGACUCCGUUAAAUAUAA